UGCACUGGCGGGCCCUCCCCUCGGGCGUUGCCUCCCACCCACGCCCGGCGGCACCGCACCCCGAGGCGCUUCACGUCACGGAGCUGCUAGGAGACGGGCGGGGCUCCGGUUCCGGGUAGAGGCCUGGGACACGGGGAACUACGGAAUCUCACUCUGUCACCCAGGCUGGAGUGCAGUGGCACAAUCUCAGCUCACUGCAACCUCGACCUCCCAGGUACAAGCAAUUCUCCUGCCUCAGCCUCCCAAGUAGCUGGGAUUACAGGAUCCAGCCAUAUUUGGAGUCUGCUCUACACUGGAACAUCUUUUUUUUUUUUUUUUUAGAUGGAGUUUUGCUCUUGUCGCCCCGGCUGGAGUGCAGUGGUGCGACCUCAGCGAUCUCAGCGAUCUCAGCGAUCUCAGCUCACUACAACCUCUGCCUCUUGGAUUCAAGCAGUUCUCCUGCCUCAACCACCUGAGUAGCUGGGAUUACAGGCGCCUGCCACCACGCCUGGCUAAUUUUUGUAUUUUUAGUAGAGAUGGGGUUUCACCAGGUUGGUCAGUCUGGUCUCGAACUCCUGACCUCAGGUGAUCCACCCACCUCGGCCUCCCAAAGUGCUGGGAUUACAGGCGUGAGCCACCAUGCCCAGCCUACACUUGGGCUUCUUAGGCACAAGAUCCAGUAAGCCCUCCCUCCUCCUCCCCACCCCUUUUUUCUUUACACUAGUGUUUUCUGUAAUCCUGCAACAGAAAGAGUCCUAACUGAUAUAUUUGUGACCAUUUCUAAAAUCUCCAAAAUGUAAAAUUAUACAAUUAAGAAUUAAAAUAAUUUUUUAAAACCA
rnacentral:lncRNA from 1 species